rnacentral:rRNA from 1 species
UACGUAGGUGACGAGCGUUAUCCGGAUUUACUGGGCGUAAAGCGCUUGUAGGUGGCUCUGUAAGUUGGGCGUGAAAACACCGGGCUUAACUCGGUGACGCCGUCCAAUACUGCUGGGCUCGAGGAUGUCAGAGGAAGGUGGAAUUCCUGGUGUAGUGGUGAAAUGCGUAGAUAUCAGGAGGAACACCCGUGGCGAAGGCGGCCUUCUGGGGCAUUCCUGACACUGAGAAGCGAAAGCUAGGGGAGCAAACAGG